rnacentral:rRNA from 1 species
CUAGCGUUGCUCGGAAUCACUGGGCGUAAAGGGUGCGUAGGCGGGUCUUUAAGUCAGGGGUGAAAUCCUGGAGCUCAACUCCAGAACUGCCUUUGAUACUGAGGAUCUUGAGUUCGGGAGAGGUGAGUGGAACUGCGAGUGUAGAGGUGAAAUUCGUAGAUAUUCGCAAGAACACCAGUGGCGAAGGCGGCUCACUGGCCCGAUACUGACGCUGAGGCACGAAAGCGUGGGGAGCAAACAGG